ACAAAGUACAGUAAUUACUCAUUUAACACGUGGCUGCUUAACACGUUUUCGUAAUAGCACACUAUUUUUUGAGGGAACGUUUUUCAAAAAACACAAAAAUAAUCAAGUGGUGGACUAUUUCGUGGGGCGGUAUAGUUGGUGCAAACAGUGGUAAUACACAUGAGCGGAUGAAUACACGUGGUCACAGUGCUCCUCCGCACACUCACGUGUUUAUCUUUCUGUUUUAACAAACCGCAGCGACUUGUGUUGCUAGAUAUCUAAUGUUGAUGUUGACGACCUAACACCAACAAAAAAUUGACUUUGCCACCACCAUCUGAAACACAACCUCCACCUUUUCCAUUAUUUUUAAUAGGAAAAUUGACCCCGCAUAGCACGUUUUCGUUUAGCACGAACAUUCUCAGAAAAGCAUCUGUAGCGUUAAAUGAUGAAUUACUGUAUUUUGCAUGAAGAUCUGAUAACAGUAAUUCUUUACACUGUGUCAUUAGAAUUACUAUAGGAAUAGUUAUAAAAUUCAAGUUAUUUUCUUAAACCAAACAGAUUUGUUUUCCAGUUUGUGGUUAGUUGGAAGAAGGCCCUAAUUAGCAAAUAAAAGGAGGCUGGGAAAAUAAUGAGUUAUAAAACCAGAAUGUAACGUGGGAUGCAAAACUAAAUUAAUAAAACACCCAAGAAGAAAGCACACAAUUUCCCAUUGUUCUACUGGUAAACUCAUAGGAGGGGAAAUUAUAAAAUGGAAAGGCCGGGGGGGAAGGGGCGAGGAGGAAGGGGAAGUGAAUUUUGUCAAACUAGGUUUUGUUAAAGUUAGCAAAUGAACAAUGAAAUUCUUUGCUGAAAGAGAGAAAAAGCCAUAAAUCUGGGCAUUCUUUAUCAGCUCUAAUUCAAUUUUGCUGGAAAAAAAAAAUCAAGAUGAGAGGACUAUUCUCUGGUCUGGUCAUUUUGUAAGUAAGAGCUACAGAUACAGGUUGAAACUUUCUUAAUCGGAAAUCUCUAGUCUAGCAAUAGCCAUGGCCUGGCAUGGAGGUUACAGGAUCCAGAGAGUCCUAGUGGCGAGCCAGCAGGGAGCUGCCUGUGGAAGCCCCGACAUGUGCAGAUGCCAACAAGCUGGUAGGGCAGUGGGGUGAAGGAGGCAGGGAGUGAGCUGGGAGGACAGAGGCCCGGCCAGGGGUGCCAGUGGCAAGGGUCUAAAAAUUACCUCCAGUGCAAAAUCCCUCAUUUGGGACCAGUCAGAUUCUGAGGGUGCCGCACCAAGGAGGUCCAACCUGUACUUAGAAAUGUUUUGUUACUAUAGUGGAGGUAAUAAAUUGUUUUUUUUUGGAAGACAUGUCUGAAGUAAUUGUAUAAAUACUAUUCAACCUUUGGAUUUAAUAAAAAUGUCUGAUAUGUUAUUGUCUAAUGGUACCCCACAUUAAUAAUAUUCAUAAAUACCUCAUACUCCCUCUGAGCAUUUUUAGCAGAACAGUUAAACAUACAAACAUCCACAGGAACCUUAUCUCUUAUGGAUUUACACCACGGCUACCAUCAGUGAAAAUGCUAAAUGUCGGGGUUAGUGCAGACACAGCAGCAGCGCUAAGUAUGUAAUGACAUACACAAGCCACUCAUCUAUGGAAAGGAAAAGUGUCAGUGAAGAGCAAGUGGAAAGAUUUCAUCAGGAUAUCAAGAUGAUGGAAAAGAGAUAUCAAGGAAGCUGGGAUGUCAACAUGAUGGCUGAUUACUGCUGGUUCCUAAAAAGAGAGACUGAUGGUGAAAUGCAUAAAAAGUUGUCAAAAAA